AUCAGCCCAUAGAACUUUCUCCAAGAUAAACCAUAUGAUAGACCACAAAACAGUUCUCAAUAAAUUUAAGAAAAUUGAAAUUAAAGCAAGUAUUCUCAGACCACAGUGGAAUAAAAUUGGAAAUCAACUCCAAAAGGAACACUCAAAACCACGCAAAUACAGGGAAAUUAAAUAACCUGCUCCUAAAUGAUCAGUGGGUGAGAAUGAAAUCAAGAGCUCAACCACUUUCACAAUAGCUGCAAAACAAAAAACAAAAACAAAACACUUAGCAAUGUACUUAACCAAGGAGGUGAA